rnacentral:rRNA from 1 species
UGGGGAAUAUUGCACAAUGGGCGCAAGCCUGAUGCAGCCAUACCGCGUGUGUGAAGAAGGCCUUCGGGUUGUAAAGCACUUUCAGAUGUGAGGAAAGGAGUGUAGUUAAUACCUGCAUUCUGUGACGUUAGCAUCAGAAGAAGCACCGGCUAACUCCGUGCCAGCAGCCGCGGUAAUACGGAGGGUGCAAGCGUUAAUCGGAAUUACUGGGCGUAAAGCGCGCGUAGGUGGAUAGGUCAGUCAGAUGUGAAAGCCCAGGGCUCAACCUUGGAACUGCAUCUGAUACUGCUUAUCUAGAGUACGGUAGAGGGUAGUGGAAUUUCCUGUGUAGCGGUGAAAUGCGUAGAUAU